GGUGAGAUGGCCGAGCGGUCUAAGGCGCCAGACUAAGGAUCAGGGCAUUCAAUGUUCCAACCAAUCACGAAAGUGGUAUCUGGUCCGAAAGGGCGUGGGUUCGAAUCCCACUCUCAUCA